GAUGAAGAACGCAUCGAAAUGCGAUAAGUAAUGUGAAUUGCAGAAUUCAGUGAAUCAUCGAAUCUUUGAACGCACAUUGCGCCCGCCAGUAUUCUGGCGGGCAUGCCUGUUCGAGCGUCAUUACAACCCUCAGGCCCCCGGGCCUGGCGUUGGGGAUCGGCGGAGCCCCCCGUGGGCACACGCCGUCCCCCAAAUGCAGUGGCGGUCCCGCCGCAGCUUCCAUCGCGUAGUAGCUAACACCUCGCGACUGGAGAGCGGCGCGGCCACGCCGUAAAACACCCAACUCUUCUGAAGUUGACCUCGAAUCAGGUAGGAAUACCCGCUGAACUUAAGCAUAUCAAUAAGCGGAGGA
rnacentral:misc_RNA from 1 species